AAACCAACAGGGAUUGCCCCAGUAACGGCGAGUGAAGCGGCAACAGCUCAAAUUUGAAAUCUGGCCCUCCCUUCGGGGGCCCGAGUUGUAAUUUGCAGAGGAUGCUUCUGGCGCGGCGCCUUCCGAGUUCCCUGGAACGGGACGCCAUAGAGGGUGAGAGCCCCGUCUGGUUGGACGCCUAGCCUCUGUGAAGCACCUUCGACGAGUCGAGUAGUUUGGGAAUGCUGCUCAAAAUGGGAGGUAUAUGUCUUCUAAAGCUAAAUACCGGCCAGAGACCGAUAGCGCACAAGUAGAGUGAUCGAAAGAUGAAAAGCACUUUGAAAAGAGGGUUAAACAGUACGUGAAAUUGUUGAAAGGGAAGCGCUCAUGACCAGACUUGGGCCCCGCGCAUCACCCGGCGUUCUCGCCGGGGCACUUCGCAGGGCCCAGGCCAGCAUCGGUUCGCGGCGGGGGACAAAGGCUUCGGGAACGUGGCUCCCUCGGGAGUGUUACAGCCCGCUGCGCAAUGCCCUGCUGCGGACCGAGGUUCGCGCUUUCCGCAAGGAUGCUGGCGUAAUGGUCAUCAGCGAC
rnacentral:rRNA from 1 species